rnacentral:rRNA from 1 species
GACGAACGCUGGCGGCGUGCUUAACACAUGCAAGUCGAACGGUAAGGCCCUUCGGGGUACACGAGUGGCGAACGGGUGAGUAACACGUGGGUGAUCUGCCCUGCACUUCGGGAUAAGCCUGGGAAACUGGGUCUAAUACCGGAUAGGACCACUGCCUGCAUGGGUGGUGGUGGAAAGCUUUUGCGGUGUGGGAUGGGCCCGCGGCCUAUCAGCUUGUUGGUGGGGUGAUGGCCUACCAAGGCGACGACGGGUAGCCGGCCUGGGAGGGUAGCCGGCCACACUGGGACUGAGAUACGGCCCAGACUCCUACGGGAGGCAGCAGUGGGGAAUAUCGCACAAUGGGCGCAAGCCUGAUGCAGCGACGCCGCGUGAGGGAUGACGGCCUUCGGGUUGUAAGCCUCUUUCAGCACCGACGAAGCGCAAGUGACGGUAGGUGCAGAAGAAGGACCGGCCAACUACGUGCCAGCAGCCGCAGUAA